UACAGAGGUCUCAAGCGUUGUUCGGAUUCAUUGGGCGUAAAGGGUGCGUAGGUGGCGUGGUAAGUCGGGUGUGAAAUUUCGGAGCUUAACUCCGAAACUGCAUUCGAUACUGCCGUGCAUGAGGACUGGAGAGGAGACUGGAAUUUACGGUGUAGCAGUGAAAUGCGUAGAGAUCGUAAGGAAGACCAGUGGCGAAGGCGGGUCUCUGGACAGUUCCUGACACUGAGGCACGAAGGCCAGGGGAGCAAACGGG
rnacentral:rRNA from 1 species